GAGAAUGUUGUUAAAGGCAGCAUCAGCGUUAGGGCAUAAAUUAAUGCUAAAGUACUGGAAAACAAUCUUUUAAUAACCAUAGCGAUCUCCUCGGAUCCAAGGCCAUGAAUCAGCCACUUUUUUGUAUUUUUUUAUAAUGCAAUUUAAGUGCCAGCGGCUAAACUUUUAAGACAACCACUCUAACGGAUUAACCGCUUUUCCUUUUUGUCUUAUCUCAAAGUAUAGACCGUUUUGCUUGAUUCCACCGCUGUGACCG
rnacentral:ncRNA from 12 species